UUGGUGACUUCUGUGUCGGAUGGCGCUGCAAACCGAUUCGAAAGGUCAAUGAUAUAUUUGUGACAAAUCGAAAAUCUGGUUGAAAACAGUUAGCUGCCUCUGUCUGUACUCAAAUCCUCCUAUCACACUCGGACUUCUGCCUGGAGGGAAUGGUCCAACGAUUCCCCAGUUAUUUUUCCAAUUGUUAACAAUGUCAGAGGCACUGACCAGCCAGCAGCAAUCACUUGGAAUUGUUGACCAAGCAAGCAGUUGGCCGGAGACUGAAACAUUAAAAGAUGACUGCACAUGAAAUAUCGAGAAGAAUCUAAUUUAAUCGGAAAUUGCACGUUUCGUUUUGUUCGUAUACUUUGCGAUGUUCUUGGACAGUAUGGUGUACCUUAAAUGUAAAUGUAAUUCCCUCCCGAAAAAAAGGCGUGGGGAUUGCGAUCAACUUGAACCCGUUCACCGAAAAGCAGUGACCGCAUCAACUUCGUACUGUGUACUACUUUGAAUUAUUUCAGCCAGCGCUAAGCAACCACUAUUGAUUAUCUUUCCCAUACAGGUUCUGGAUUAGAGUGGUGCUGGAAAAGCACAGCAGUUCAGGCAGCAUCCGAGGAGCAGGAAAAUCAACGUUUCGGGCAACAGCUCCUAGCUUUCCCAUACAGAUUCCUUCAAGGAACUCCGACCACAAUGCCGUGUUUCUUCUCCCAGCCUACAGGCAAAAGCUCAAACAGGCGAUCCCCCUCGAGGAUACAGGUCCAGUGCUGGUCGGAGGAGGCAGAGGAUCAACUCCGGUGCUGUCUGGAAUUGGUUGAUUGGGCCACUUUCAAACAGUCCACAGGUACCAUGUAUGGGUACGCCACCACCAUCACAGACUUUAUCAGCAAGUGUGUACAGGACUGCAUACCGAGGAAGUCAAUCCUGGUGUUCCCCAAUAGGGAUGAAUCACAAUAUACAGAACCUGCUAAAAACCAAGUGAGAGGCCUUCAGUUCAGGAGACCCACUCAAAUAUAAGGAAUCCAAGUAUGACCUUCGCAGAGCUAUUAAGACAGCCAAGGACCAAUAUCGAUCCAAAACUAGAGACCCAGACAGACUCCCAGCGCCUAUGGCAAUGACUGAAUGACAUCACAGGUUCUAAAAAGAGACAGUGCAAGAUAGCAGACGAUGACAUUUCUCUCCCAGAUCAUCUCAACGCCUUCUAUGCUUGCUUUGAGCAAAAUUUCAGUGGAGAGGUAACACCUAUUCUGACAAGUCCUGAUGAACUCAUCCCAACAGUCAGUGCAUCAGAUGUCAGAUCAAUUUUCUUUCGUGUGGAUCCAAGGAAAGUGAUGGGACCAGACGGAGUAUGAGACCGUGCACUCAGAGCAUGAGCAGAUCAACUGGCAAAGAUCUUCUUGGACAUAUUCAACCUCUCCCUGCAGCAGGCCACUGUCCCUGCCAAUAUCAUCCCUGUGUCUAAGAUGGCUUAUGUAACAUGUCUCAAUGACUGGCACCUAGUGGCCCUAACCUCUGUGGUCGUGAAGUGCUUUGAAAGGCUGGUCAUUGGCAUUAAUCAACUCUAGCCUCCCCACUACUCUUGACCCACUCCAAUUUGCCUAUCGGACUAACAGAUCCACAUCAGAUGCCAUAUCAUUUGCCUUCACUCGUCCCUCUAACAUCUUGAUGCCAAGAAUAGCUACGUAAGAAUCCUACUCAUUGAGUACAGUUCAGCAUUCAACACUAUUAUCCCCAUGAAACAAUUACUAAACUUGGGAUCGCAGACCAAGCCCCAUUGUCUGCAAUUGGAUCCUCAGUUUUCUGACCCAUAGGUCACAAUCAGUGAAGAUUGGGGAAAAUAUUUCAUCAUCACUAACACUCAACAGUGGAGCCCCCCAGAUCCCUCUACUGUACUCAUUGCAUACCUGUGACUGUGUCGCCAAAUACCAGACAAAUGCCAUUUACAAGUUCGCUGAUGACACUGCCAUAGUUGGUCAAGUCUCAGAUGAUGAUGAAACAGACGACAGAUGGGAAGUGGAAAACCUGGAAAAAUGAUGCACUGAGAACAACCUAGCUCUCAAUGCCAGCAAAACCAAGGAACUCAUUAUUGACUUUCAGCAGAAUGUUA